ACGUUCGUCCCAGAGGUACUGAGAGAGAGGCGAUGAAAUCGAGAGAGAGGCUAUGAAGACACAGAGAAAGAAACAAAAAAAGAGAGAGGCGAUGAAGACAUGGUGAAACAAAUAGGAAAAGAGAGAGGCGAUCCUAGUACACAGAGAAAGAAGAGAUCGCCUCUCUGUUUCUGACAGAACGCCUCUCUGCCCACAAACAACGCCUCUGAUGGGUUCUAUUCUUUCUCUGAUUUUUUUAUAGGUAAAUUAGAUUUGUUAUAUGCAUUCAAUUUUUUUCAAUUUGGUUCUAGAUUUGGAUUCAAAAAUUAGGGCUAAGGAAAUCAAGUUUUAAUAUGUGACUAUUUUUUUUUUAAUUUUUUCGGUAAUAGAUUUUUUUUCAAUUCAUCUAUUUUGGAAUUAAAUCAUUCAAUUUCAAAAAUUAACUGGUUAAAAUACUAUGCACACAAUUUGGAACACGGAGAAAGAAACAGAGAAAGAGGCAGAGUUCAGUUUCUCCAUCACCGUCCGUUCCCUUUCCAGAUUUAGACCACCAGAUGCCAGAACCGACAUUGACAACGGGGCACAUUUGCAUUAGACGGAAUUUUUGAAGAAUGAAGUGGAUUUUAAUCAGAAAGUGUUGAAGCCCAACUGAAGAUUUUUGGAAAAAACAAGUUUGAAGAGAAGCCACUUCAACUUGAUGCAAACUCAGGAGUUACCCUCAAAAUCAAAGGGAUGUUCAUGUAUGUACUGCUGUUCUUGGUAAUGCAGUGGUUGAAAAGCACUUAGCAUCAAAAAAGGAUUAAAGGGAACAUCCUAACAAACCUGCAAGAUAGCUUGAAGGGGAUAUUCUGUGUAGUUGAGGGGGAAUUAGUAGCUGGAAAGUGGAUGCAUUUGGAGACUACUACCUUCAUCUUGGCUCAUCAGAUAUGUACUGAGUACCUACUUUACAAUGAGCAUAAAGCAUGAUAUUAAAUCUAUAUCAAUGAAAAUGGUGUCCUCACACUAUAUAUAAAAGAAACUGAGGAAACAUUAAAUUUUUAUAGUUAUAUUUUUCCAGUUUCUUUCAUUCCUAUUGUAACAGAGAGACAGAGCUAAGUUAAACAUGCAAAGGGUUAAGCUUUAUUUGAA